rnacentral:rRNA from 1 species
GACGAACGCUGGCGGCGUGCCUAACACAUGCAAGUCGAGCGGAGGAUGCGGCGUAGUAAUACAAAGUAUCUUUAGCGGCGGACGGGUGAGUAACACGUGGGUAACCUGCCUCAGAGUGGGGGAUAGCCUUUCGAAAGGAAGAUUAAUACCGCAUAAGAUUGUAGCGUCACAUGGCGCAGCAAGAAAAGGAGCAAUCCGCUUUGAGAUGGACCCGCGGCGCAUUAGCUAGUUGGUGAGGUAACGGCUCACCAAGGCCACGAUGCGUAGCCGACCUGAGAGGGUGAUCGGCCACAUUGGAACUGAGACACGGUCCAGACUCCUACGGGAGGCAGCAGUGGGGAAUAUUGCACAAUGGGCGAAAGCCUGAUGCAGCAACGCCGCGUGAGUGAUGAAGGCCUUCGGUCGUAAAGCUCUUUGAUCAGGGAUGAUAAUGACAGUACCUGAAAACAAGACCACGGCUAACUACGUGCCAGCAGCCG